rnacentral:rRNA from 1 species
AUUGAACGCUGGCGGCAGGCCUAACACAUGCAAGUCGAGCGAGCGGCGGACGGGUGAGUAAUGUCUGGGAAACUGCCCGAUGGAGGGGGAUAACUACUGGAAACGGUAGCUAAUACCGAGUACCAUCGGAUGUGCCUAGAUGGGAUUAGCUUGUAGGUGGGGUAACGUCUCACCUAGGCGACGAUCCCUAGCGGGUCUGAGAGGAUGACCAGCCACACUGGAACUGAGACACGGUCCAGACUCCUACGGGAGGCAGCAGUGGGGAAUAGUGCACAAUGGGCGCAAGCCUGAUGAAGACAGGCCGCGUGUGUGAAGAAGGCCUUCGGGUUGUAAAGUACUUUCAGCUGGGAGGCGUUACCCGCAGAAGAAGCACCGGCUAACUCCGUGCCAGCAGCCGCGGUAAUUC